UACAGAGGGUGCAAGCGUUAAUCGGAAUUACUGGGCGUAAAGGGCACGUAGGCGGUUUAUUUAGUCUGAUGUGAAAUUGCUAGGCUUAACCUGGUAUGUGCAUUGGAAACGGAUAAGCUAGAGUUUUGGAGAGGGAAGUGGAAUUCCCAGUGUAGAGGUGAAAUGCGUAGAGAUCAGGAAGAACAUCGGUGGCGAAGGCGCUUUGCUGGACCAUAACUGACACUCAGGGACGAAAGCGUGGGGAGCGAACAGG
rnacentral:rRNA from 1 species